rnacentral:lncRNA from 1 species
CUAACAUUAUCACAUCUACGACACAGGUUUAGCAAUAUACGAAAUGAUCUAAUUGAAGACGUUGCCGAAUUAGAGCUGAUCCCGAUUGAACCAGUAAUGGGUAUCGUAUUUGCAACAUGAGCUCCACCUUUGAAUUUACUAUAUGAGUAAAUUCUUAAACACGUCCGAAUUUAUCAUUAUGAUAAAUUUGCGGCACAUUUUGAAUUUAUCAAUAGAGUUAAUCAUGAAACCACAUUCAUUAGACAAGAUUUCUUGUUAUAAAUGUAAUGGCACUAAAACGGAGGCUGGUCGCGCGUGGUUGGGGAGCAGAGCUUCCACUCGGAAGGAAAUUUCCUUCCAAAAGGAUAUUUUGGCAUUUGGAAGGAAAAAUAAAAGGAAAUAAGAUUUGGAAGGAAAUUGGAAGGAAAUUCGGACAUUUUGAAGGAAAAG